rnacentral:rRNA from 1 species
UGGGGAAUAUUGGACAAUGGGCGCAAGCCUGAUCCAGCAAUGCCGCGUGUGUGAAGAAGGCCUUCGGGUUGUAAAGCACUUUUAUCAGGAGCGAAACGCUGUCGGCUAAUACCCGGCGGAACUGACGGUACCUGAGGAAUAAGCACCGGCUAACUUCGUGCCAGCAGCCGCGGUAAUACGAAGGGUGCAAGCGUUAAUCGGAAUUACUGGGCGUAAAGCGUGCGUAGGCGGUUUCUUAAGUCUGCUGUGAAAUCCCCGGGCUCAACCUGGGAAUGGCAGUGGAUACUGGGAGGCUAGAGUGUGUCAGAGGGUGGUGGAAUUCCCGGUGUAGCGGUGAAAUGCGUAGAGAUCGGGAGGAACAUCAGUGGCGAAGGCGGCCACCUGGGACAACACUGACGCUGAGGCACGAAAGCGUGGGGAGCAAACAGGAUUAGAUACCCUGGUAGUCCACGCCCUAAACGAUGCGAACUGGAUGUUGGUCUCAACUCGGAGAUCAGUGUCGAAGCUAACGCGUUAAGUUCGCCGCCUGGGGAGUACGGUCGCAAGACUGAAACUCAAAGGAAUUG